CAUGCAAGUUGAACGCACCCGCAAGGGUGAGUGGCGAAAGGGUGAGGAAUAGUAUCGAACGUACCCCGAGGUAGGGAAUAGUCGCGGGAAACUGCGGGUAAUGCCCUAUGAUCUCCAAGGAGCAAAGCUACGGCGCCUUGGGAGCGGCGAUACUCCUAUCAGGUAGUUGGCGGGGUAAUGGCCCACCAAGCCGAAGACGGGUAGCGGGUGUGAGAGCACGACCCGCCGCAUCGGGACUGAGACACUGCCCGGACUCCUACGGGAGGCUGCAGUAACGAAUAUUCCGCAAUGGGCGCAAGCCUGACGGAGCAAUGCCGCGUGCAGGAUGAAGCGGCUACGCCGUGUAAACUGCUGUCAGGGUCUAGAAACACUGAUCAGACCCAGAGGAAGAGCCGGCUAACCCUGUGCCAGCAGCCGCGGUAAGACAGGGGGCUCAAGCGUUAAUCGGAAUCACUGGGCUUAAAGGGUGCGUAGGCGGUUCGGCAAGUGUCUUGUGAAAUCCCCCGGCUCAACCGGGGAACCGCGGGGCAAACUGCCGGACUUGAGGUUGGUAGAGGCCGUUGGAACGAUAGGUGGAGCGGUGGAAUGCGUAGAUAUCUAUCGGAACGUCGAAAGCGAAAGCAGACGGCUGGGCCAUACCUGACGCUGA
rnacentral:rRNA from 1 species